UACAGAGGAUGCAAGCGUUACCCGGAAUGAUUGGGCGUAAAGCGUCUGUAGGUGGCUUUUUAAGUCCGCCGUCAAAUCCCAGGGCUCAACUCUGGACAGGCGGUGGAAACUACCAAGCUGGAGUACGGUAGGGGCAGAGGGAAUUUCCGGUGGAGCGGUGAAAUGCGUAGAGAUCGGAAAGAACACCAACAGCGAAAGCACUCUGCUGGGCCGACACUGACACUGAGACACGAAAGCGUGGGUAGCAAACAGG
rnacentral:rRNA from 1 species